GACGAACGCUGGCGGCGUGCUUAACACAUGCAAGUCGAACGGAAAGGCCCUGCUUUUGUGGGGUGCUCGAGUGGCGAACGGGUGAGUAACACGUGAGUAACCUGCCCUUGACUUUGGGAUAACUUCAGGAAACUGGGGCUAAUACCGGAUAGGAGCUCCUGCUGCAUGGUGGGGGUUGGUAAGUUUCGGCGGUUGGGGAUGGACUCGCGGCUUAUCAGCUUGUUGGUGGGGUAGUGGCUUACCAAGGCUUUGACGGGUAGCCGGCCUGGGAGGGUGACCGGCCACAUUGGGACUGAGAUACGGCCCAGACUCCUACGGGAGGCAGCAGUGGGGAAUAUUGCACAAUGGGCGGAAGCCUGAUGCAGCAACGCCGCGUGCGGGAUGACGGCCUUCGGGUUGUAAACCGCUUUCGCCUGUGACGAAGCGUGAGUGACGGUAAUGGGUAAAGAAGCACCGGCUAACUACGUG
rnacentral:rRNA from 1 species